rnacentral:rRNA from 1 species
AUUGAACGCUGGCGGCAUGCCUUACACAUGCAAGUCGAACGGUAACAGGUCUUCGGAUGCUGACGAGUGGCGAACGGGUGAGUAAUACAUCGGAACGUGCCCGAUCGUGGGGGAUAACGAGGCGAAAGCUUUGCUAAUACCGCAUACGAUCUACGGAUGAAAGCGGGGGAUCUUCGGACCUCGCGCGGACGGAGCGGCCGAUGGCAGAUUAGGUAGUUGGUGGGAUAAAAGCUUACCAAGCCGACGAUCUGUAGCCGGUCUGAGAGGAUGAUCAGCCACACUGGGACUGAGACACGGCCCAGACUCCUACGGGAGGCAGCAGUGGGGAAUUUUGGACAAUGGGCGAAAGCCUGAUCCAGCCAUGCCGCGUGCAGGAUGAAGGCCUUUGGGUUGUAAACUGCUUUUGUACGGAACGAAAAGCCUCUUUCUAAUAAAGAGGGGUCAUGACGGUACCGUAAGAAUAAGCACCGGCUAACUACGUG